UUUAUAAGUAACAAGGGAGCAGACAAAGGUGAUUAGAACACAAUGGCAUGUCCAGUCUGUAAAUCUUUAAACCAUGAAGAUGGUUGUAUAGUUCAGGAAUUGGGCUUCUUUUUAUUAUGGGCGGUCCUAUCACUCAGAUGCCCACUUCUCACUGGACCUGUUGGCUGGCUGGCAUGAUUUGCUGUUGGUGAUGAGGCGGUCAGGGUGACGUUGCAGGGCUAUGGUCGGCUCUCUGUGAGCUCAACGUUUAGAUUGCUCUGUAUGGUUUGUACCCUGAAUAAUCUAGAUAAUUGUAAAAUGUAGGCACGGUUUUGUAUUGAAUGAUUUUAGGUAUUAAGUUGUUGUCGGACGUACAUGGUAGUUUGGUUCUUCGUACGGUUUUGAGUGAUAUAACUUGUACACACUGGGUGCAUAAUAAUGUAAAGGUACACUGAAUAGUAGUAAUGACCAACAGCAACAAACUGAUCUCCUCAAGGUAAGUCUGUUGGCUGUGUUUUAAUGAAGACCAUCGCUGGACUUCAGGAUCUUCCUCCGUUCAGCUCAAGGUGAGGCGCUGGUUCUGUUUUUUCUUUGGUUGGUUCCGGCUGGAAUGUUCGGAUUCCAGUUGGACGGUUUGUGCUUCCCGCCGUGGAAGGUUCUGAGUGCGGUCAUUUGAUUUAGUCCCAAUGGUUAGCAUAGAACGUUCAGGAUUGUAUUUGCGUAACCUCGAGCCGUUUGAUAUUAAAUACAUACUGACACGUACGUCGUACAAUAUGUUCAUUUCCGAUGGUUGCGCCGUACUUUUAACCACGAUGACGUGACGGGACUCUCGCUGCGUACAAAACGGCGUUCUACUUGCGGGCCCAUUUUUUACAUCAGUGAUGGAUGAAAAUCUUUUCAAGGCUGCAUUUCAACCAAACCCAGCACCUGAAUAAGGCUGAGUAUAUUUGAUUUAAUAUCGAUACUGCUGAGUGUUCUUUGUUACUUCAGCUUUUGUAUGUUCUAAUUAUCUGCUGUUAUUAAUUGCCACAGAAGUUAAACCCUACCAAAUGGAAUAACGUUAAACAACGACUUUGGUGCAGAGUUACCAACUGGAUAAUAUCAAAGCUAAAAGAAUGGCCGUCCUUCCCACAUGUUACAGUAGAAGAUACUCUAGAACUGUACAAGGUUAAAAAGGUAACAUGUAGUUUGUCCCAAGGUGUCUGCCUCCUCACCCAGAGCAAGACCUCCACCUCCUCACCCAGAGCAAGACCUCCACCUCCUCAUCCAGAGCCAGACCUCCACCUCCUGUCAAAAGUCCUCCAGAACAGCUGAAAGAUGAGGCUGAGAGGCUGGGGACCGGAGGCUUGUGGUGCCAGGAUGGACUAGAGACUGAGGCUGGAGACCAGGGGCCUGCAGCACCGGACCAGAGGGUAACCAUCACCAAGCUCAUCUGAAACACUAAAAUCCACGGUAGUUUAGGUCUGGUUUUGAUAAUCUUAUGACUUUAAAUCUGUGCCAAGCUGUGAUUUGAGUUAAUUCAUACGGGCGCUAUGUAAGAGUCAUAUGAGCCAUUAUUGUUACUAGUGCUGCUACGACCGUAGUGGAUGAAUUGCUGAACGCGACAAUCUGCAGACGUUGUCUAAUUUAAGUGUUUAAAUAUGUUUUAAUUUGUCUUCACUUUUACAAGUGAACUUCAGAUGCAGGUGGUGGGGUGUGUUGCGUCCCCAGGUGAUUUACUGCUGAGACCAGUGUUUGUUCCAGACCAGGACUCUGGCUGAGGUGAGCUGAUGGAGGAGCCAAGACUCUGGAGGACGACAUCACUCUGCCAACCAGAAUCCUCACCAGGAAUCUGGAGGACUGAUGGACAAGCCGUACAUCUGGAAGGCAAAUCCUGAGGACAACCAGGACUCUACCAUCAAGGAUUCCUCGGAGAAACACCUGAGCUGAACCUAACCUGAUCCUGUUUGGUCGGGGGUAGACACACCUGAGCUGAACCCGCCCUGAUCCUGACAUCCUGCUGGUCCCGUCUCCUCAGUUCAUCUGCGCCUCAUCCUCCAGAAGACCUGCUGAGCUCAGCAGUCUGAGGCUAAUGUAUCAAUGACCUCCAGUGGGAGUGAUCUUCUUGACCCCACAUGUGAUUUACUGCUGAGACCAGUGUUUGUUCCAGACCAGGACUCUGGCUGAGGUGAGCUGAUGGAGGAGCCAAGACUCUGGAGGACGACAUCACUCUACCAACCAGGAUCCUCACCAGGAAUCUGGAGGACUGAUGGACAAGCCGUACUUCUGGAAGGCAAAUCCUGAGGACAACCAGGACUCUACCAUCAAGGAUUCCUCACACACCUGAGCUGAACCUCACCUGAUCCUGUUUGGUCGGGGGUAGACGCACCUGAGCUGAACCCGCCCUGAUCCUGACAUCCUGCUGGUCCCGUCUCCUCAGUUCAUCUGCGCCUCAUCCUCCAGAAGACCUGCUGAGCUCAGCAGUCUGAGGCUGAUUUAUCAAUGACCUCCAGUGGGAGUGAUCUUCUUGACCCCACAUGUAACGUGAUUCGACACGCCUUUCCCUCACGUCUUUCACUAACCUCACUACUUCACUACUCUCUACUGCUUCCUCUUCUUCUUCCUUCUCUGUUGUUCGAACCUUUACACUGAAGGCGCGUCUUCCUGCCCUCAGAGGGUUCUGCGUUAGGGUUGAGAGUCAGGGUUUAGAGUCAGGGACAGAACUGGUCAGGGAGGACUGCUUUUACACAAACCUCUUCACCACCUUCCGGAAUGGUGGUGACAUUUUGAAAAGAUUAAUUUGGGAAAAUGUUUUCCUCUGCUUUCCUUUACAAAAUGGUAUUGAACUUCUGUCAAGUGUUUUUGUUUAUACAUUAAAAUCCCACAUUGACUUCUACAUGUUUGGUGCGGUUAAUUUAAUUGUCCUUUAACUUGGUUAAUGUCAAGCUAAACUGCAUUACAUUUAAUAUACAUGAUUGUUAUUCAGCAAUGUUCACAUAAUCCAUUUUGUAAAAAUAUUAAACCUCCAUAUUACUACAAAAUUCAAGCCUAUUCAUGUAUUUAACAAUGUACAUACUGCCCUUUAGG
ensembl:lncRNA